rnacentral:rRNA from 1 species
CCAGCACCCGAGUGGUCGGGACGAUUAUUGGGCCUAAAGCAUCCGUAGCCGGCCUUACAAGUCCUCCGUUAAAUCCAGCUGCUUAACAGAUGGGCCGCGGAGGAUACUAUAAGACUAGGAGGCAGGAGAGGCAAGCGGUACUCAGUGGUAGGGGUAAAAUCCGUUGAUCCAUUGAAGACCACCAGUGGCGAAGGCGGCUUGCCAGAAUGCGCUCGACGGUGAGGGAUGAAAGCUGGGGGAGCAAACCGGAUUAGAUACCCGGGUAGUCCCAGCUGUAAACGAUGCAGACUCGGUGAUGGACCAGCUUAAUGCUCGUCCAGUGCCGCAGGGAAGCCGUUAAGUCUGCCGCCUGGGUAGUACGGUCGCAAGACUG